rnacentral:rRNA from 2 species
CUUGGUCAUUUAGAGGAAGUAAAAGUCGUAACAAGGUCUCCGUUGGUGAACCAGCGGAGGGAUCAUUACCGAGUUUACAACUCCCAAACCCCUGUGAACAUACCUAUACGUUGCCUCGGCGGAUCAGCCCGCGCCCCGUAAAACGGGACGGCCCGCCCGAGGACCCCUAAACUCUGUUUUUAGUGGAACUUCUGAGUAAAACAAACAAAUAAAUCAAAACUUUCAACAACGGAUCUCUUGGUUCUGGCAUCGAUGAAGAACGCAGCAAAAUGCGAUAAGUAAUGUGAAUUGCAGAAUUCAGUGAAUCAUCGAAUCUUUGAACGCACAUUGCGCCCGCCAGUAUUCUGGCGGGCAUGCCUGUUCGAGCGUCAUUUCAACCCUCAAGCUCAGCUUGGUGUUGGGACUCGCGGUAACCCGCGUUCCCCAAAUCGAUUGGCGGUCACGUCGAGCUUCCAUAGCGUAGUAAUCAUACACCUCGUUACUGGUAAUCGUCGCGGCCACGCCGUAAAACCCCAACUUCUGAAUGUUGACCUCGGAUCAGGUAGGAAUACCCGCUGAACUUAAGCAUAUCAAUAAGCGGAGGA